rnacentral:rRNA from 1 species
AGUGAACGCUGGCGGCAGGCCUAACACAUGCAAGUCGAACGGCAGCACAGUAAGAGCUUGCUCUUACGGGUGGCGAGUGGCGGACGGGUGAGGAAUACAUCGGAAUCUACUUUUUCGUGGGGGAUAACGUAGGGAAACUUACGCUAAUACCGCAUACGACCUACGGGUGAAAGCAGGGGAUCUUCGGACCUUGCGCGAUUGAAUGAGCCGAUGUCGGAUUAGCUAGUUGGCGGGGUAAAGGCCCACCAAGGCGACGAUCCGUAGCUGGUCUGAGAGGAUGAUCAGCCACACUGGAACUGAGACACGGUCCAGACUCCUACGGGAGGCAGCAGUGGGGAAUAUUGGACAAUGGGGGCAAGCCUGAUCCAGCCAUACCGCGUGGGUGAAGAAGGCCUUCGGGUUGUAAAGCCCUUUUGUUGGGAAAGAAAAGCAGCAGGUUAAUACCCCGCUGUUCUGACGGUACCCAAAGAAUAAGCACCGGCUAACUUCGUG